GGUUAUGGUGGAGAGAUUUGAUAGAAUGUGGUUUAUUGGAGAAGGGAAUGGUAAAUUAUUUUAGUAUUUUUGUUUUGAGAAUUUUAUGAAUAGUAUGAAAAGGUAAAAUGAUAGGAUAUUGAAAGAGGAAUUUUUUAGGUUAGUAGGUGUUUAAUAUGUUAUUGGAGAUUAGUGGAGAAAUAAUUUUAGAAAGAAUGAAGGGAUGGAGUUAAAGUAAAAAUAAUAUUUAGUUGUGGAUGUGAUUGGUGAUAGAAGUAAGGUUUGAUGUUGUAAAGAGUAAUAUUGUAUAGGAAUUUGGAAUGUUAGGUUUAUGAAUUAAGGUAAAUUGGAAGUGGUUAAAUAGGAGAUGGUAAGAGUGAAUAUUUAUAUUUUAGGAAUAAGUAAAUUAAAAUGGAGAAAAUAGUGG
rnacentral:misc_RNA from 1 species